CCUACGGGUGGCAGCAGUGAGGAAUAUUGGUCAAUGGACGAGAGUCUGAACCAGCCAAGUAGCGUGAAGGAUGACUGCCCUAUGGGUUGUAAACUUCUUUUAUAUGGGAAUAAAACGUUCCACGUGUGGGAUUUUGUAUGUACCAUAUGAAUAAGGAUCGGCUAACUCCGUGCCAGCAGCCGCGGUAAUACGGAGGAUCCGAGCGUUAUCCGGAUUUAUUGGGUUUAAAGGGAGCGUAGGUGGAUUGUUAAGUCAGUUGUGAAAGUUUGCGGUUCAACCGUAAAAUUGCAGUUGAAACUGGCAGUCUUGAGUACAGUAGAGGGGGGCGGAAUGCGGGGUGUAGCGGUGAAAUGCUUAGAUAUCACGAAGAACUCCGAUUGCGAAGGCAGUUCACUGGACUGCAACUGACACUGAGGCUCGAAAGUGUGGGUAUCAAACAGGAUUAGAUACCCCUGUAGUC
rnacentral:rRNA from 1 species